UGAUGUUUAGCUCAGUGGUAGAGCACUUGCCUAACAGGCAUAAGGCUGUGGGUUUGAUUUCCAGCAAUAAAAU
rnacentral:tRNA from 1 species